rnacentral:rRNA from 1 species
UACGUAGGGGGCAAGCGUUGUCCGGAAUCAUUGGGCGUAAAGCGCGUGUAGGCGGCUCGAUAAGUCUGCUGUGAAAGUUCAGGGCUCAACCCUGAAAUGCCGGUGGAAACUGUCGGGCUAGAGUCCGGAAGAGGCGAGUGGAAUUCCUGGUGUAGCGGUGAAAUGCGCAGAUAUCAGGAGGAACACCAAUGGCGAAGGCAGCUCGCUGGGACGGUACUGACGCCUGAGACGCGAAAGCGUGGGGAGCAAACAGG